rnacentral:misc_RNA from 1 species
AAGUCGUAACAAGGUUUCCGUAGGUGAACCUGCGGAAGGAUCAUUAACGUGUUCGUUCGGCCGUUCGGGUAGGCCCUGCACCGACGGAGACGUCGUGCUGCGGGCUCCCGGACGCGCCUUCCAAACCAAACCCCUGUGAACCUUUGGGAGGGUCGAGCCUUCGCCGGCGACGCCGUCCCCUUUACAAACUCUUGUAUCUCAUAGAAUGACCGCGGACAUCGUCUGCCUAAACACAUAACAACUUUCAACAACGGAUCUCUUGGCUCUC